rnacentral:lncRNA from 1 species
AAUGAAAGAGAUUCAACAAGACCCGGUGAAAUGAAAGCCUUAAGGCCAGAAAGAAGGAAGUCCAGGAGCAGGCGAUCUUGCUAAGAGCUCCUAUUCACUCGAAAGAAGCAGAUUCGUUCACAGAAUUUUUGCUAACAGAAAAGAAAGACAACUACCUUCUAGCCAGCAAAGCCUUUCUUUGAAGUAGACUAGUUGAACAAGAGGAAUGAAUGGAAUCACCCUCGAGCUGAAGCCAUGCCCGUAUCACCUCGUGAGCGGAUUUACCACUCGCUUCGCUAAAACUAGACCUAGACUAAACGCUACAGCAGCUAGACGACUACUACACGAGCUAGCAUACAUACUAGUCUAGAUUGAUUCGCUCGCUCGGGC